GUGAAUCAUCAAAUCUUUGAACGCAUAUUGCACUCUCUGGUAUUCCGGAGAGUAUGCCUAUUUGAGGGUCAUUUGAAAUAAUAUAAAUUCCAAGAUUUCUCGGAAUUUAAAAUAGGUUGUCUAUUUUUUGUGUUCUCCUAAAAUCCAAGACAAGCUCAUUUUCUUGGGUUGCGUGAUACUUUCAGUUACUUCGUGACUUAACCAGGAAUCAUCGUGCUUGUUAUGAAUUUUGCAAGACAUAAAAAAUCCCAUAGAUUUAUUUCAUCGGAAUUAGAAAUCGAA
rnacentral:misc_RNA from 1 species